UGGACAGAUUAUUGUAUUCGACUAUAUUCGGCUGUAUUCACGGCGUGAAACAGGGGAUUACGCUGUUUUUAAACGGAAAGUGAAUCAAUUAACAUAAAUAAACUCCU
rfam:Nicotiana sylvestris Nsyl_contig35739, whole genome shotgun sequence.